rnacentral:lncRNA from 1 species
GGGACUUCCUAUUUAAUGGUCCUAAUAGUAAAGACAUUACCUUUUAAUGAACACAACCAGUCACGAUGUUUUCAUCUAUCAAACAAAUCACUUCAAAAACCUAGACUACCUAAAACGUAGGCUACCUGGGCACGUUGGCCCACUCCAAAAUAAUUCCAGUACCCAAACAAUGCACUGUGCACCUGCCAUUUGAUGGAGGGAAAGAGACGUUACAAAAUCACAAAAAGUGUAAUGACAUUCGCGAUUGUCAUUAGGCCUACAAUAUUGUAGCCUGAAUUAAUUGAUGCGUCUUGCUGACAAAUGAAAAAUAUAUCAUAAUCGGGACACGUGAAAAGGGGCUGAAAUUGUCACGUUUCUCUAAAGCUGAACCCAGAAGCAGACCAGGACAAGGUGAGUAAAAUGAAGGUGAGUAUUUAUUCACAGACUCGAGGCAGCGGAGGUGAGUUGAUGAGAGUGAAUAGGCAGAUCCAAUGAUGUCACUGAAACCACCGACGACCAGGCAAGGGGGGCGAAUGUUCCGGGAGGAUGACUGUAGACAGCGUAAACAGGGUUGAGUAACCGGCAAGAAGUACAUAACAACAAAACUAACUCUGGUAACAUGAGCUGAUACGCUGACACAACCUAAUGUUCAUUGCUAACGAUCCGGCAGGGAAUGGAUGUCAGGUCAGGGUUUAUGAAGAGAAGAGGUGAUGAUCAGGACCAGGUGUGCAGAUGGCUGAUGAGAUGCAGGUGCGGGUAAUUGAGAGAUCUCCCGCCUAGCUUCGUCGCCCGGCAACCAGACAGGGUGUGUUCAGAAACAACUCCAAAACAGAAAACAGUCAGCUCAGGCAGAACACAGACUCAGGAAGCGGGAUUCAUGACAGGAAUACAGGACAAAAAUACAGCUGUGUCUGUCCGGAGCUCAUUAGUGCGGGGAAACUGUGAGGGUCCAGUUAAAACAAUGUUGCAAGUUCGCUAGCGAGCUGGACCAAGUCGUUACAAUGUUGCAAGUUUGCUAGGGAAAGCUCAAGACAGACAGAGAGAGACAGGAGACAGGCGGAGUAGAGAGAUUAAUGCGAUUGAAAGAACCUGAACAAACUGUCACUGGUUUAAGCCUAAGCACGAAACAUGGAGAUGCCUUCAAAUUAUGUAGGCAACACCACUCAAAUUUACGUAAAAUAAUUCAAAAUAGUCCCUUUAAUAUUCAGAAUGUUGAAUACACUUCAGUGGUGUUAGUCGGAUUUUGAGACAAAGUAUCCACAGAAGUGUUAUUAACCCCAUGUUUUAGGUAUAUACUGUGUAUAUAUAUAAAAAAUUACUACACAAAAUUAGAAACAAUUUACAUCCCUACAUCAAACAUGUCUAACAAAACAAAACACAAGUAUAAACAAGAAAAUACUACUAUAUCCUUACUACUAUAAUACUAUAUCCUUCAUGUUAAAAACAGGAGUAGUGCUCAAAAAGGUAAAUAUGUAUUCUGCAAGGUUUUUCCAAAACUCUAUCACAGAUUUACAUCCAUAGAACAAGUGAGUUAGAUUUUCACCUUUUUCUUUUGCAGAAAACGCAGAUAUCAUCAAUAUCAACAAAUUUGGACAACAUAGAAUUACAUGGAUAUAUCUUAUGUAGAAUCUUAAAGUGCACUUCCUUAAAUUUGUUUGGUAUAAAAUAUCUGUAAGGCUUCAAACAAGCUUUUUCCCCAGACAUAGUCAGGAAUAAGCAUGUUCCAGAAAAUGUUUCCUCUAGGCAUAAAUUGGUUCCGUGAAUGGAAAAUGUGUAUUUGUUACAAGAUUUCUCGAGUAAGUCCACGCCUUUCAAACUGAGUUCUGGAUAAACUCUGUGAUCAUCACCAAAGCUAAGAUUAAUUUUCAUUAGUGUAGUAAGACCACUGGGAAUGGCUUUUUAUCACAGAAAUAAACUCUCUGAAAGUUAUUGGAAACUCAUUCAAUGUUAUAAAUUUGAAAGAAUAUUACCCCUGUUGGUGAAAACAUUAAGAACAAAGUCAAUAUUCCUCUCAUGGCAGCUAGGGUAGAACAAUUACUUAUUCCUUACAGUUAUGCCUGAAUUAUUCCACAAAAGAGCUUUAUGUGGGGUAAAAUUGUACAGGAAACAUUAAAGAUUGUUGGUGAAACCUACACUGAAAAAACGGGACAGAUUUAUGUGAUUUACUCAAACAUGUUUUGUUUCUCCUCACAACACAAUUUCAUUGUUUGCGAUCAAUGCAACACGAAGCAAAAUCUGAUCUACUAGUUUGAAUCAUGUAGUUGGAGUGUGAACCAAUAAAGCUAAUUCAUGACGAGUAAUGAGGAAGAAGUCAAACCGCGUGAGAGAAGAAUCUUCCAGAAAGAUCCUUGGCGCGUUAGCGGAGAAGACAAUAUCUAGAAUCGUGGUCAAGGAGAAGACCCAGAUGCAGACAGUGUCGAAGACAACUCUUCAAUUCCUGGUCUCCCGUGAUCUGCCACGGGUCCGGAAGACGUGCUGCACCAUGAGCUGGGACAUUUCUUUGGCAGAGGGUAGCUUGGGGAGAGGAAUGAAGUGGGCGGCUGUAGAAAACCAGUCCACUACUGUCAGGACGGGGGGAGACCUGUGACAAAGUCCAGGGAUAUGUGAGACCAGGGACGGUGAGGAACAGGCAAGAGGUUGAAGGAGACCAGACGGAGUCUUGUUCUGUGCACAGAUCGUGCAUGCAGAGACGUCAGGAACCAUGGUAGGCCACCAAAAGCAUUGUCGCACAAAGGAGAGAGUCCAACGGGAGCCUGGGGGGCAGGCAAGCUUGAAGGAGUGGGCCCACUCCAGAUCUGAGGAGCAGACAGCAUCAGGAACAAACAUCCGGUUAUUUGGGCCAAUCCACCAUCACUCUCACCUUCCUGGAAUCCAUCUGUACACUCCCUGCAGCGAUGAUGUAUCCCAGGAAGGGGAUGGUGGAGCGAUG